rnacentral:rRNA from 1 species
UACGAGGGGGGCGAGCGUUGUUCGGAAUUAUUGGGCGUAAAGGGUGCGUAGGCGGUUUGAUAAGUGAGGUGUGAAAGCCCUCGGCUCAACCGAGGAAUUGCGCUUCAAACUGCCGGGCUCGAGGGAGAUAGAGGUGAGCGGAACUGAUGGUGGAGCGGUGAAAUGCGUUGAUAUCAUCAGGAACACCAGAGGCGAAGGCGGCUCACUGGGUCUCUUCUGACGCUGAGGAACGAAAGCUAGGGGAGCAAACGGG